UACGUAGGGGGCAAGCGUUAUCCGGAUUUACUGGGUGUAAAGGGAGCGUAGACGGUUAUGCAAGUCUGAAGUGAAAGCCCAAGGCUCAACCAUGGGACUGCUUUGGAAACUGUAAAACUGGAGUGCAGGAGAGGUAAGCGGAAUUCCUAGUGUAGCGGUGAAAUGCGUAGAUAUUAGGAGGAACACCAGUGGCGAAGGCGGCUUACUGGACUGUAGCUGACGUUGAGGCUCGAAGGCGUGGGGAGCAAACAGG
rnacentral:rRNA from 1 species